rnacentral:rRNA from 1 species
AUACGGAGGAUCCGAGCGUUAUCCGGAUUUAUCGGGUUUAAAGGGUGCGCAGGCGGGAGAUUAAGUCGGCGGUGAAAUUUUGCAGCUCAACUGUAAAAGUGCCUUCGAAACUGGGUUCCUUGAGUGUAGAUGAAGUAGGCGGAAUUUGUGGUGUAGCGGUGAAAUGCAUAGAUAUCACGAGGAACUCCGAUUGCGCAGGCAGCUUACUAAACUACUACUGACGCUCAGGCACGAAGGCGUGGGGAUCAAACAGGAUUAGAUACCCUGGUAGUCCACGCAGUAAACGAUGAUUACUAGCUGUUUGCGAUACAAUGUAAGCGGCUGAGCGAAAGCGUUAAGUAAUCCUCCUGGGGAGUACGUUCGCAAGAAUGAAACUCAAAUGAAUUGACGG